rnacentral:misc_RNA from 1 species
UCCAAUUUGAAAUGAUAGUGUUUUUUUAAAGCCUAAAAAAAAAUCGAGUAUGAACACCAUGACUUUUUUAAAAUGAAUGCAAAAAGAGUUAACAGUGGAAGAAAUUUUAACAUGAAAAGAUGGAUUGUACUCAAAACUGUUGUUUAAAAAGACAUGGGGAUUAUUUAGUGUCGGCUUUCUCAUCAGAAGAUUUAGAGACUUUAAAGCAAAUAAUAAAAGUAAAAUGUUCAAAUCCAUUUCGGAUACUGGAUUCUUAUGGAAGAUCAAUUUUCCACAUUGUUGCAUCGCUUGGAAGAAUAGAUGUCCUGGAAUGGUUGUGCUCUGAACAGAAAUCAAAAAAUGUUUUUCACAUAAAAGAUAAAGAGUCUGGUUAUACUGCUCUUCACAGAGCUCUUUAUUAUGGAAACAUUGAUUGCGCUAUAUUGCUCUAUAAGAAAUUAGGUGACUGGGGAUUUUAUGAUAUUCAAGGAAAUAGUCCACUUGAUUUGGUUGUAUUGGAUUCACCAAGAUAUCAUAGGAAACCUGAAGAAAAAAGUUUACAACAAGCAGUAGCAAUUUUGCCUUUUGAAUCUGAAGGAGAAGAGUUAUCUCUUCAUACUGGUGAUCGUAUAGAAAUCAUUCGUGAAUACCCGAACGGCUGGUCAUUUGGUAAACUUGUAGGAAGCCAGCAGAAAGGAAUGUUUCCUACAAAUUUUGUUGAAAUAACAAAAUUUGAACAGUUUGUUCCAAGUUUAAUCGAAACACAUUCAAAUGUAUUUACAUGGGGUAAUAACAUUAAUUUUAAUUUAGGUCAAGCAGAUUCUAAAAACAGAGUUCAUCCAGACCAAGUGCAAGAUUUAGUAGAUAUAAUUGAUGUUGUGAUAACUAAGUUUCAUGCAGUGUUUUUGAGCAAAGCUGGCCAAGUAUUUACAUGUGGGCAUGGUUUAAAUGGCCGAUUAGGUCAUAACUCUGAAGAAACAGUUCUUCACCCUAAACUUAUUGAAGGUUUAAAAAAUCAGAAAUGUAUUAAUAUCAAGGCUGGUGACCAUCACACUGUUGUUCUUGAUGAACUAAAGCAGGUUUAUACAUUUGGAUCAAACCAAUAUUGUCAGUUAGGCCAUGUACCUCAACCAAAGAGUUGUUUAUAUCCAAAAGAACUAAGUAAUAAACUUUUCAAAAAUAAAGAAAUUAUUGGGAUUGCAGCUGCUUGUUUUCAUACCAUAGUGUAUACAAGCUACGAGUUGUAUACAUUUGGUCUAAAUGCUGGUCAGUUAGGACACUCAAAAGGAGAAAAGUACCAAUGCUCUCCAAAACUUGUCAGUUCUUUGUUAAACAAAGAAACUCGAAUUUUACAAGUAUUGGCAAGUGAUGGUGCAUCUUUAUGCUUGAUGACAAAUGGGGACUUGUAUAUAAUGCAAAAUUUUAUUUGCAGAAAAAUUGCCACUAAAAUGGUUGACGUACAGUCUUUACAAAUGAAUGGUGGAAUUUUAGAGUUUGAAUCUUCAAAGAUAGAAAAUCCUUUACAAAUUUGUGUUUUGUAUGGUUCAGGAAUGUUAGAAUAUUGGAGUUUAGAGUGUAAAUCAUUUCGUACUCUCUUUUGGGCAGGUGAAAAAUCAACGAAUGCUAAAAUUAUCCACAUUGCUUUAGGCCUUAAUCUUUUGUUUGUGACAGAAGAUGGUAGAGUUUAUCAAGGUCAUUUUCAAAUUGAUAGGAAAAAAGAUAGUUCAAUGGCUCCUGUCAAAGUUAAAGCUAAUUCUUUGUUAAGUGAAAUUGCUGAGAAGUAUAAAGAGAAGAAGAGACAUUUUGUUCAUAUGCAAACGGAAAGAAUUCCAUUGUUGUUUAAUGCAUUAAAAUGUUUUUGUGAUUCUCGAAGUAAAUCAUUUGCUGCAGUUCAAAAUGAUCCGCAAGUCGGCUUGGUUGGCUUUCCAUCUAUCAUUGAUUCUAUGUUGAGUAAUGAUUUAGAGAAACUGAUUUCACAAUCAUUUAAUGAAGAUCAGCUGCAUGAUAUGUUUAUAAAGACUAUCUCAUGCAACAUAUAUUGUCAUAAGUUUAUACUUCAAUCAGCUGGUUUUUCAUUUGACAAUCUUUUAACUAUAAACAAUAGUUCUUGUUUGGAUUUUUCGCAUCUUUCAUAUUCUGCUACUAUAAAUUGGUUAAAAGAGUUGUAUCGAGGUAACAGAGUUGAAAAGAAUCCUUCUGAAUCACAAUUGUUGCAGAAUUCCAAUGACCAUCCAGUUGAUCUAAGCGACGAUAUCAAUGAUAUUUAUGAUGAUGUAAUUAACUUGUCAGUAGCUGAUUUACAACAAUUUGAAGUUGAAGAAAAUGUUUACAAAAAAAUACAAUGGCAGAAGAAUAAUAAAAGGAAGCAAUCUUUUAAAAACAUCAAAAAGGAAAGCCAAUCAAAUGGGAAAAAGUAUUACUGUCACAAAAACUUUGUAAACUGGCAGAAGCUAAAAAAUCUUUCUGAUGUCACAAUAAAAUGUUGUGAUGGUGUGACAAUUAAAUGUCACAAAUGUAUACUUGUUGUAAGAUCAGAGUACUUUCAAAAUAUGCUAAGCAAUGAAUGGCUUGAAUCCUCAUUUGUUAAUAUGAACAUACCUUCAAACAUUCUUUUGCCUAUUCUAAACUUUAUUUAUACAGAUGAACCUUGGAAAAAUGUUCCAGAUGACAUCAAUUAUAUAGGUGAAGUUAUGGUUUGUGCAGAUCAUUUUCUACUUGUGCGCCUAAAACAAAUUUGUGAGUUAAGUUUGGCAAAAAAAGUUUCAUUAAAAAAUGCACCUGAGCUGUUUCAAUUUGCGUGCAACUUUAAUUCAAGCCAGUUAAAAGAAUUUUUAGCUGAGUUUAUUUCAUUGAAUCUAGCUUAUUAUCUUGAAGCCAGAUUGUUGGAGGAUAUUGAUUUAGAGCAUCUAAAAGAAUUAUCAAUUGUUUACAAAAAAAUGGUGAGUGGAAUGAAGGAACGUGUAAUUAAACCAAGUCAGCUUCAUUGUGUUAUUGAUGUUGAAGAUGAUUUACUGCAAAACAACUUUAUAAUGAAAUCAAAUAAAGAUAUUCACUUAAAAAACAUAAAAAAAGUUGGAAAAAGUUUAACUAAAGAAAAAUGUGUUAACAGCAAUGCUGGUUUAGAAACUAUUUGCAAGGAUCAAGAAAUCUUGAAUAAUGUGUCUGAACAAAGGCAACAAGUUUUUGAAGCCUGUCCCACCACCACCACCUGUCCCACCUUAUCUGACACAAGUUCUGGUAUUAAACAAAAUUCUUUAAAUAUAUUUCAAAUUCACAGUUCAGAACUAGAAAUAAAAAACAUACAAAAGAAUAAAAUUUCGCCAUUUAAAAAGAAAUCUCAGCGGGAAAGGAAGAAAGAAUCUCUUAAUGGUGAUACACUUAUCUCAACAGUUGAUGUCCAAAAAAAAGAUGUGUUUUGUCCAUGGUCAUCAAGUUCAUUAAACCAACAACUCAAUCAACCAGUUUCUUUUCGUGACCUGUUAGAAGAAGAAAGUUCACCUAAAAAUAAAAAUGUUAGGCCAUCUAUAAAGAAUGUGCAAUCUGCUAAGUUUAACAAACAAUUGAGUUUCGACGAAAAACCAAUAACAGCUACAAAGUUAAAAAAUGUUUCUGAAAGGGAGUUGAUGAUGGAAGCAUUAGGGAGUUGAUGAUGGAAGCAUUAGGGAGUUGAUGAUUGAAGCAUUAGGGAGUUGAUGGUGGAAGCAUUAUGAAGCGUGUGGAAUGACAUUUCAGUGUCUGAAACUUCAGAAGUGUCUAUGCUUCGAUUAUUUAAAGAAGAAGAGAAACGCCAAACAUUAGAGAGUUUCCACAAGCCUGUCACCUUGAUUCAA